rnacentral:rRNA from 1 species
GACGAACGCUGGCGGCGUGCCUAAUACAUGCAAGUAGAACGCUGAAGAGAGGAGCUUGCUCUUCUUGGAUGAGUUGCGAACGGGUGAGUAACGCGUAGGUAACCUGCCUUGUAGCGGGGGAUAACUAUUGGAAACGAUAGCUAAUACCGCAUAACAAUGGAUGACCCAUGUCAUUUAUUUGAAAGGGGCAAAUGCUCCACUACAAGAUGGACCUGCGUUGUAUUAGCUAGUAGGUGAGGUAACGGCUCACCUAGGCGACGAUACAUAGCCGACCUGAGAGGGUGAUCGGCCACACUGGGACUGAGACACGGCCCAGACUCCUACGGGAGGCAGCAGUAGGGAAUCUUCGGCAAUGGGGGCAACCCUGACCGAGCAACGCCGCGUGAGUGAAGAAGGUUUUCGGAUCGUAAAGCUCUGUUGUAAGUCAAGAACAAGUGUGAGAGUGGAAAGUUCACACUGUGACGGUAGCUUACCAGAAAGGGACGGCUAACUACGUG